UUGGACUAAGUUAGUGGGAAAAUCCAACAUUUUGUUGGAUAAUCCCACUAACUCUUAGUGGGAUAUGUGGCUAUAUGAGAUAUAGACACCUAGCCCACUAAGUUCCACUAAUUGUUAGUGGAAUAUUAGGUGUUGAGAUUUGGCAAUUGAAUUGCAUGCAUUUUUGCAUGUAAUUAGGCUAUAAAUAGAGAUGUUUUCAAAUGUUGAAGGACUUUUGCCUCUUUUAUCAUUUUCAUAAUCUCAACAAAAGAAAAAAGAAAGCUUCCAAUCUCAUUUUAUCUCCAUUACUUUCUACACCAAAAUUGGGUCCCACAACCCGGUUCUUUGUCUAGAGGAUAGCAGUUGAGUACUAGUGGUGGUCUCGGGUAGAAUUGGUAAGAAGACAUCAAACCUUUUGAAAGCUUCAAAGGUAAUACUUCUUAAAACCCUAAUUUGAUUAGUUUAUGGUUACAUGUUAAUUGUGGCAAUUAGGGUAGAAAUUCGAUUCUUUUUCCGCUGUGCAUGACUUAGUUCUAUCAUGUGGUAUCAGAGCAUGCUUCAUUUUUACCCAAUUGCAUGUGGUGGGUUCAUAUUUAUUAGAUAAAUUUUGGUUUGAACUAAAAUGGAUAUAUUAUGAUUUUGGCUCUAGAUUAAGUGUUUUUGUUCUAAUUAUUGUAAUUAGCCUUGUUAAUGGCUUAUUUUUAUUGUUGCAAAGUGUUUGUAAUUUUUUAAAAAAUAAAAAAAGUCAUUAGAGUUGAAGCUAGGCUGUAAUUGGUUCAACCGGGUGAGAGAAUUGAAAAAAAUGAAGAAAAGAAGGUCACAGACCCGAAAACCCGGUUUUGACCCGCUUCGCGACCCGCACGCGCCCGCAUGCCCGCGCGCCCUCCUGCGCCGCGCGCCCUCCUGCGUCCCACGCGCCCCGCGCGCCGCGCGCCUCCUGCGCGCGCGCCUCCUGCGCCCGCGCGCCUCUGCGCCGCGCGCCGCAUGCGCCCGCGCGCCGCAUGUGUCCGCGCCCGCAUGCGCCCGCGCGCCCGCCUUCGCCCGCGCGCCUGCCUUCGCACGACCCGUGUGCGCCUGGGCCGGUUCAAGCCAAUAAAUUUGGUUUUUGGGCCGGUUCAAGCGGUUCGGUUGGUUUUUUAGCCGGUUCGAAAUUUUUGGGAGUGGUUCUGUACUACACCAAAUUAAUUAUGUAAUAAUUUAGCACUUAGCUUAAUUUAGGAGCCAAAAAUCAGUCCAUUUUAGGGUGUUUUUUUUUAUUUAUGCAUGUGAUGUAUGAUUAAAUUACUUUAAAUUUGUAUGUGCAUUUUGAAUGUCAUAUAGAUUUAAAAUCCCACCAUAGGUUAACAUGUUCAUGCAUUAAAAUGUAUGAUAUAAAGGUUAUAUUGUAUUGUAUGCAUGUUAAUUGAUUAAUAUGGAAAUUAAUUAAUAUG
rnacentral:lncRNA from 1 species